GUAGGGUGCGAGCGUUAAUCGGAAUUACUGGGCGUAAAGCGUGCGCAGGCGGUUAUGUAAGACAGAUGUGAAAUCCCCGGGCUCAACCUGGGAACUACAUUAGUGACUGCAUAGCUGGAGUACGGCAGAGGGGGAUGGAAUUCCGCGUGUAGCAGUGAAAUGCGUAGAUAUGCGGAGGAACACCGAUGGCGAAGGCAAUCCCCUGGGCCUGUACUGACGCUCAUGCACGAAAGCGUGGGGAGCAAACAGGAUUAGAUACCCUGGUAGUCCACGCCCUAAACGAUGUCAACUGGUUGUUGGGUCUUCACUGACUCAGUAACGAAGCUAACGCGUGAAGUUGACCGCCUGGGGAGUACGGCCGCAAGGUUG
rnacentral:rRNA from 1 species